rnacentral:rRNA from 1 species
GUCUACAGUCUUACCACCUGCAUGCACCUGAUCUCAUCUGAACUCAGCUCAGCAGGGUUGGGCUUGGUACGUAAGUACCUGGAUGGGAGAAAUGAGAUUAAGGCAGAAUCUAGCUUUAGAAAUGUAGUGC